GAUGAACGCUGGCGGCGUGCCUAAUACAUGCAAGUCGAGCGAAAACACGAGGACCUUGCUUCUCUGACGUUAGCGGCGGACGGGUGAGUACCAAAUGGAUCACCUACCUGUAGGACAGGGAUCACUACGGGAAAUCGUAGCUAAUACCGGAUAAUAUAUUGAACCGCAUGGUUCACAAGUGAAAUACGGUUUUGCUGUCACUUAUAGCUGGUUCCGCGCCGGAUUAGCUAGUUGGUAAGGUAACGGCUUACCAAGGCAACGAUGCGUAGCCGACCUGAGAGGGUGAUCGGCCACACUGGAACUGAGACACGGUCCAGACUCCUACGGGAGGCAGCAGUAGGGAAUCUUCCGCAAUGGGCGAAAGCCUGACCGAGCAACGCCGCGUGAGGGAUGAAGGUCUUCGGAUCGUAAAACGCUGUUAUUAGGGAAGAACAAAUGUGUAAGAAACUAUGCACGUCUUGACGGUACCUAAUCAGAAAGCCACGGCUAACUACGUG
rnacentral:rRNA from 1 species